rnacentral:rRNA from 1 species
UACGUAGGUGGCAAGCGUUGUCCGGAUUUACUGGGCGUAAAGGGCGUGCAGGCGGUUUGUUAAGUGCAGGGUGAAAGCUCCCGGCUCAACUGGGAGAGGUCCUUGCAUACUGGCAAACUCGAGGGAGGCAGAGGAAAGUGGAAUUCCCGGUGUAGUGGUGAUAUGCGUAGAUAUCGGGAGGAACACCUGUGGCGAAGGGCGGCUUUCUGGGCCUUAC